rnacentral:rRNA from 1 species
UACGGGGGGAGCAAGCGUUGUUCGGAUUUACUGGGCGUAAAGGGCGCGUAGGCGGCCACCGCAAGUCAGUUGUGAAAUCUCUGGGCUUAACCCAGAAAGGUCAACUGAUACUGCGGGGCUAGAGUGCAGAAGGGGCAACUGGAAUUCUCGGUGUAGCGGUGAAAUGCGCAGAUAUCAGGAAGAACACCCGUGGCGAAGGCGGUUCUCUGGGACGGUACUGACGCUGAGACGCGAAAGCGUGGGGAGCAAACAGG